rnacentral:tRNA from 1 species
GCCGACGUGGUGGAAUUGGUAGACACACCAUCUUGAGGGGGUGGCGGCGCAAGCCGUGCGAGUUCGAGUCUCGCCGUCGGCACCA